rnacentral:lncRNA from 1 species
GUCAGCGCAUGGAGUGCCAAGUGAUCGUUAAAGAUUGCCUGCAAGUCCCUGAACACCAAUUUUUUCCUCCACACAGUCCCUGAAAUUUUGUGAAUAGAGAAUAUCAAUUUGAAUAUUUGGAUAUCAAUAGAGGAUGUCAAUUUAAGGUUAAUCACUUUCAAGGUCCUUAAAAAAUACCAAAUGCCUCUCAGAGUAUUAACAAAAUGCCCGUAGGAAUAUUAACACAUUAACACCUUACUGUGAAUUUGUUUAUGAGAUCACUUUCCUCUGUAAGUGGAGGGAUCUGGGGCACUCUGAAAACACAGAACACCUGGAGAAGGAAGAGGAGGAGGCUUUGAAAGGGGUAAGAAUGGUGGUGAAUUGAUUCUUCUAAUGAACUAAAGGCAGGGGCUUAUUUCUAUAAGUGUUCUGUGUCCCUAUUACUGGAAACUUUCAAGGGAUUUCAGAAAAUCAGGAAUUAAGGGAAAAGAAUAAUCAUUUAUUAAGUACCCAUAUGGUGUGCUUUAUAAAUAUCUUGUUUGAGUCUCACAACUACCCUAGGAGGUGGGUGCUAUUAUUAUCAACAUUUUACACAUAAACAAAUUGAGGAUCACCAGAUUAAUUAACUUGCCCAGGGUCAUCCAGCUAGGAAGGAUCAGAGGUUACAUUGAGCUCUACAUGCCCUGUGCUGUCUAGAGCUGGGGGCUAUUCAGAGACAUCAGAGAUGAUCAGAGGAACUCACAUCAGAGUUGCAGACCUGGACCAGAGAAGGCCCUGUGGUGAGAUGAAGAAAUCAGUGUAGAGAGAAGAAGAUUAAUGGAAGACCUUCUGAAGUCCUGGAUUCUUGGCCCCCCAAUCCACCUUUUUCCCAGAUAUAUUAGCAUUGCCUUCAGAUCACCUACAAGCCUACUUGGAUGUAAGGGAGCCCUUUUCUAUACUGAGCUGAGCUGUGGUGACCCAUAGAGACAACUCUAGUAUUAUAUCCAGAAGGUGAAGAUUGGAGCCCCAUCCAUCAGCUCAAAUGGUUUUGCUAGGAGUGAUGAGUCUCCCUACCUCCCUGAAGGAUCCCACAAUUAAACAGAGCCAUAUGGGUCCAGUGGCAAGAUAUAGAUGAAGAUGAGUGGAGAUGACUCUGGAUGCAAUAGGAGAC